rnacentral:rRNA from 1 species
CCUACGGGAGGCAGCAGUGGGGAAUAUUGCACAAUGGGGGAAACCCUGAUGCAGCGACGCCGCGUGAGUGAAGAAGUAUUUCGGUAUGUAAAGCUCUAUCAGCAGGGAAGAAAAUGACGGUACCUGACUAAGAAGCCCCGUCUAACUACGUGCCAGCAGCCGCGGUAAUACGUAGGGGGCAAGCGUUAUCCGGAUUUAUUGGGUGUAAAGGGAGCGUAGGCGGCAAGGUAAGUCAGCAGUGAAAGCCUGUGGCUCAACUGCGGGACUGCUGUUGGAACUAUCUAGCUAGAGUGCAGGAGAGGUAAGUGGAAUUCGUAGUGUAGCGGUGAAAUGCGUAGAUAUUAGGCGGAACACCAGUGGCGAAGGCGGCUUACUGGACUGUAAAUGACGCUGAGGCUCGAAAGCGUGGGGAGCAAACAGGAUUAGAUACCCGGGUAGUC